CCUGCGGAAGGAUCAUUAACG
rnacentral:rRNA from 1 species